AACGUAGGACGCAAGCGUUAUCCGGAGUUACUGGGCGUAAAGCGCGGGCAGGCGGCUCUGUAAGUCUGAUGUGAAAGCCCCGGGCUCAACCUGGGAAUGGCGAUGGAUACUGGCUCGCUAGAGUGCGGUAGAGGAGAGUGGAAUUCCUGGUGUAGCGGUGAAAUGCGCAGAUAUCAGGAGGAACACCAAUUGCGAAGGCAGCUCGCUGGGACGUAACUGACGCUGAGACGCGAAAGCGUGGGGAGCAAACAGG
rnacentral:rRNA from 1 species